CCUUCCUCAAAACUUCAAGUGCUCA
rnacentral:piRNA from 2 species